rnacentral:rRNA from 1 species
GAUGAACGCUAGCGGGAGGCUUAAUACAUGCAAGUCGAGGGGUAACAGGAGAGCUUGCUCUUGCUGACGACCGGCGCACGGGUGAGUAACGCGUACACUACCUACCUUAUACUGGGGCACAUACACUGGAAACGGAGUAAAUUCCCCAUAGUCUCGUAAGAGUAAAGUUUCGACGGUAUAAGAUGGGUGUGCGUACUAUUAGAUAGUUGGUGAGGUAACGGCUCACCAAGUCGACGAUAGUUAGGGGGCGUGAGAGCGUGGCCCCCCACACGGGUACUGAGACACGGACCCGACUCCUACGGGAGGCAGCAGUAAGGAAUAUUGGACAAUGGGCGAAAGCCUGAUCCAGCCAUCCCGCGUGAAGGAUGACGGCCCUCUGGGUUGUAAACUUCUUUUGUAUAGGACGAAACGCCUUCAUUUAUGAGGGCCUGACGGUACUAUAAGAAUAAGCACCGGCUAACUCCG